UUCCGCAUGGGCGAAAACCUGACGGAGCAACGCCGCGUGAGGGAGGAAGGUCUUUGGAUUGUAAACCUCUUUUCUCAAGGAAGAAGUUCUGACGGUACUUGAGGAAUAAGCCUCGGCUAACUCCGUGCCAGCAGCCGCGGUAAUACGGGGGAGGCAAGCGUUAUCCGGAAUUAUUGGGCGUAAAGCGUCCGCAGGUGGUCAGCCAAGUCUGCUGUCAAAUCAGGUGGCUUAACCACCUAAAGGCGGUGGAAACUGGCAGACUAGAGAGCAGUAGGAUAGCAGAAUUCCCAGGUAGCGGUAAAAUGGUAGAGUUGAAGAACAUCGGUGGCGAAAGCUGCUACUGAGCUGUAUCUGAC
rnacentral:rRNA from 1 species